UCAUCAUCAUCACAGCAGAAUUGUUCAUUGGUGUGUUCAGUGGUGAAUGUGGGUCAUGUGACUCUCUCCUGGUACAAAGGAAACAGUUUAUUGUCCAGCAUCAGUGUGUCUGAUCUCAGCAUCAGUCUCUCUCUACCUCUGGAGGUGGAAUAUCAGGAUAAAAACAGCUACAGCUGUGUGAUCAACAAUCACAUCAGCAACCAGACCACACAUAACAUCAACAUCACUCAACUCUGUCAGUCAUGUUCAGGUCCUCUAGAAGGCUCAGUCUCUGUGAUAGUGCUGAUUUCUGCUGCUGCUGGACCUCUGUUGAUUUUUGCUGCUGUUUAAAAAGAAAUGCAUACCUGUAUGAUAUUACACUGUACCCACAUCUGACAAGCAGUUUAGAAAAUGGAUGGCUGGUUGAUUCAGCUGCAGGCGCCAUCUUCUGGCAAAACGCGGGAAUUCAUUCUGCAUUACCUCACAAUCCAUUAUGAAUAUUCUCUAGCCGUUGAUUCAACGUCGGUUGUACACGCGUUAUUUCACUGCAUUAUGGGAUUAAAUGAGUGCACUGGAUUUUUUUUCUGUAUUCAUUAUUUGGUGACUUUACAUUGAUUCCCUUCCCCCUACACGAUAUGAAAUUUCACACCAUUGUCUAAGUAUUAAGUAUAACCUGUAUCACCACAUAUUGGCAACAUUUAGCCUUUAUACAGUAGCUAAAGAUGGUGGUUUAGGGUGGUUCUAACAGUAGCUCUUUUUUUCAAAUAAUACUGUUAUUAUUAGUAUUAUUAUAUCUUGUGUUAUUAUUGUAUUUUGCAUUUUAUUUCAGAAAAAUAAAGAGGAUGAUGACGUGGUGUAUGCACCUAUUGCCACAAGAAGAUGAUCAAACUUCAUUCAAAGAGUCUAUGGUUGAGUUUUGUGAUUGGUGAAAAUCAACACAUUUAGCACUAAUUUUGCCAAAGGAAGAAAAAAGAGAAUAACUUAUUUUUACAUAGAUGACAAAAGAACUUAACAUAUCUAGAAUCCACAGACAUUCAAUGAUCACUCUAAUCAUUCAUUGUUAUCUUUUUUCAUUUAUUUAUGAUGAACUCAAAAAGCACUGUGACAAAGUCACAUUUCAGCCAUGGACUGAUUCAUUACAUGCAUUUUAAAUGAGUCUUCACAUGAAAAUGCAAAGAUCUUUAAAAAAAGACCAAUGCAUGAAUAAAAUCUUUGAAUAACAAAGGUAGACACAUUUAUAAAAUGAAUUAAAAGCACCAUUCAGAUGCUUAACGCUGGCAGCAGCUAGUAACAUUCACACAGACAUAUAUACAUAUAUAUUUCAUUUGGCCCCUCUCUGUAUGUUUAAAAUGUUUUUUAAAAGAUCUAGUUUGGCAAUUUGUUGCUGCUUCUCAGUGUCUUUCAGUGCAGUUAUUACAGGUUCAGUUCCUGAGGUAUGUCAUGAUCCAAACCCAAAGCAUCUGUUUGGACAGUGAAGCAACAUCACUCAGAAUAAAGAAACAGAAUAACAUGAAUGUUCAAGCUGGUUGACCACGGGAGACUUGCUGGUUAAAUAAGGUUAAGAGAGACCAAAAUCCAAAACUCAACAUGUUUUUCAACAGGCAUGUUCCUCUCUAGUGCUGUCAAGAUGCCAUCGCUACAAUAGUAAAGAUGUAACAUUACCAGUAUCAGUAAUACAGGCUCAGUUCAGCACUGACAGCUGCUCUUGAAAUAUUCUCACUGUGUAAAUGCUGCUGCUAAUGAUUAAAGAAAGAGAAACAGUUAAAACUGCACACUAUUCCCAUCUAAAGGUUUUAGCAGCUCUAUGCUGAAAAACAUACAGCACUUUUUCUUCUAUUGCUGGUAAAGUGUCUGUUCCUCACUUAAUUACUGAUACAUUGCUGUUUGUCUUUCCUAUGCAAUUCUUUUUUUUUUUUUUUUUUUAACUACAUGUUUUAAUGCAUUAUUUAACUCCCUAUAAAACGAAUUACAGCUCAUCAGUUGUUGAUGUCAUAUUCAAAUUGGUAUGUCAGACAUCCCACCCUGCAAAAACUCAUUUCAGGACUCUACCACCCUACUGUAUCAAUAUGCAGGUGACUCCCGAACCUUCCAGGAGAGGUGGGAUGUCUGGUUUGUAAUAGUGAACAUUUCUCUUAUAUUGGUACCAACUACUGAAAUCUGGUAUUGUGACUGUUUCUCUGUGAGCGAUCUUAGUUUCAGCUGAUCCUCUUCUCUCCUUUGCCAUUUUCUCAUAUCUGUGUAAAUAAUGUUGAUGUUGAUUUAUGGCUGAUAGUCAUGGGUGAUCAUAUUUCAAUGGAAUCAGUGCAUAAGACACAUGUCCUUUGCCAUGGAGUCCAACAAAAAAAGCAAGUCUCAAUAAGGGUCCAGGGUCCAGGGGCCAUUCAGGCUCACAGCUCUUAUGCUGAAAACCAUCAGUUGGAGCAGGAGCUGUGGUAGGAUAAGGUCAGUUUUCAGGGGUACAUCAGGCUGAAGAGAACUCCAUGUGAUCACUCAGGAGAAAACAUUUCCCCAACAAGCUGGCAGUUUGUUUGUGGUUCAUUUGUCUUAAUUUAAUACAAACAACAAACUAGAUACAUUGACUGAUUGACUCCAUCUUGCUGACACACUGUGGUAUCUGACAGGAGACGAUUCAUGUGCUCCACUGCUUCACUCCAUAGGAAGUCACUUCUGAAAUGUGCUGCUCAUUUGCAUAAAGUUGACUUUUUCACAAUUUUGCUGGACAUGCCUACAUCCUGUCACCCAAUGUCAUCGUUACUCAUGUCCCCAGCAGUUGGCAGCUCUAAACUUAAAUUGAACAGGAUCACAUAACUUGGCUGCGUGUUGUUGGGGGCAUGAACGAGGCUUCAGUCUUGGACGGAUUAGGUGACGCCCCAUUAGGCGUAUCCCUGCAUUG
rnacentral:lncRNA from 12 species